UGCUUUCCUUUUUCCUUGGAUCUAGGUUUAGUGUUUUAAUCCACCCUAACAUCUCGUCGAUCGGGUCUGCUCCGUCAUCUACAAUAUCUCAUCUCUCCGGUGCACGGCGACAAACUCAUUUCAGGAUCUGCGGCUCGAGAAAAGCUUUGUGAUUUCUCUCUUUCUUUCUCCUGUGCAAUUGGGAAGCGAAGAGGUUUUUUGUAGACUUUUGGAGGUGGAUUUGGGAGAAGCUAGGGUUUCUUUGGGAGUCUUAGAGAUUAGGGUGGACAAUAAAUUUCAACUUCUUUGGUGGUUGGUAGUUUUUGGCUUCACCGACUUCAUAGGAUUCCCAAAUUGAAUUUUUCACUCUUGUUAACGACUUGAAACAUGGUUAGAGAUCGGUCUUGGAUGUAUUGCGGUAGGGAUCGGGCAUCAUUCAUCA